AAUCAACGCUGGCGGCGUGCCUAACACAUGCAAGUCGAACGCGAAAGCCCUUUCGGGGGUAAGUAGAGUGGCGUCCGGGUGAGUAACACGUAGGUAAUCUACCUUCGGGUGGGGAAGUAACGUCUCGAAAGAGACGCUAAUACCGCAUAAUGCAGCGGCACCUAAUGGUGAUUAGUUGUUAAAGCGGGGGAGUCGUAAGACCUCGCGCCUGAAGAGGAGCCUGCGGCAGAUUAGC
rnacentral:rRNA from 1 species